UCGAAGUGUCUUCAGUCUCCAGAUUGGAGCCAGCGCUUUGCUCACGGCGGAGAUGGAGGUCGGAGAUUUGAUCCUGGCAGCUUUUAAGAGCAAACUCUCCCAGCAUAGCUCAAGAAUCGAUCCCGCGAAGCUCACGAGCUUGACCUUGGUACGAGUUCGUUGGGCUCUGUUUCCUCACCGGCUUCAGUCUCCACCACCACGUCGAGUUCAAUCACACGCCAAACUCAACCUGUGUUUGAUCCCGGCCUGUAACAUCCAAAAGUCUCGACUUCUAUUAUGAUUUCUCUCGUUGGAGUGAAAUCAGGGGAGAUAAGCAGCGAAGAAUCCAAUCCACGCCGUGACGACAUGGGUUCACCAGCAACCACCCGAAAGUCAAAGACAAAAGCCUCUCCACAUCAGCCGUGUGUCUAUUUUGAUUCAGAAGAUCGAUAGGCCCCAGCACUUCUUCUACAUGUCCUCUCAUCAUCAGAGCUUCUAAGAUCUCUGCAACCAAAUCCAUAUUCUCCUCAAUGCCUGCGUUUUUAUCUAUCAUGAUCAUCACACCGCUUGUUGUCUGAUGAUUGUUGAUCAUCAUGACUUGUUGCUGUUCUGGCCUUACCUUCAUCUAUAUACGUUGCCAGCAGGCUUAAGAAAAACAGAGGACAUGACCAGUGCGGUAUCUCUUCACGAUCACUUCAGCGGUCAGCUUCUUCUUGUUCUUGAUUACACAGACGAGAUUCUUCGUGGGAUAACCGUCAAGACGUCGCCAAGUUCUGGCCUUUCUUGAGAUAUUGUCACUAGAGAAGAAGACCUGAUUCAGUGAAACGUGUUGACUGGAGUUUACUCUGUUACUGUGACACUCCAAGAAUGUUGGAUCAGAUUACUGAGACUGAUCUGAUAAAGCCAUCAUGUGUAUGGUCGGGUUUUGGUAGUGAAACUGAGUGUGUCGUCUCUGAUGUGGUUGAAAAUAUUCUGCAACGGUUGAUGCUUGAAAUCUCUCAUGAGCAUCUAUCCAAAAGCUACUCUUCAUCUCGUCGUCUAUUCCGCACCAGCAGCCACUUCGGCUAGAGCAUGAUCUCCAUCAACAAUUCUCUACAGAUUUCUCAAGCUUCUUGUCACAUAAAUCAAAUUGUGAUCUCGGCGUUCUCGGUUCAUCUCGGCAGCCAUGGUUUGAUAUUGGAAAAGCUUCAUAAGCUUGCCACAACCGGCACAAACUCCUCGUCAAGAAGAAACAGCACAUGAGACAUGACCUUAUCUUCAGAUCAUUUCUCCAUGAAGCCAUGACUUGUUGCUUCCAGCAACUCGACAAUCAGCCUGAUCUCGGUGUAUUGCUAUCAAGAAUGAUGAAUUCCUCAAACGUGUGAAUGUGUGCGUCUUCAACACCGCAACGAGUUCAGUAACAUGAUUAUCAGCAUCGCCUUUUUCCAAUCAAGUGCCAAGAAGAAUAUAAACGAAAGAGAUUAUAGAUGAAGAGCUCAUCAUCAUCUCAGCUCAGAUGAGAGGACCAGGUUUUAGAGCAAUUCCCUCUGAGCUCACUACAACCGUCUCUGAGAGCUUAGACAAUGGCGGGACUUAGCAACCUCAACAGCACAAGUCAAGAUUCUCGGCAACUGGAGAUGAGAAGAGUUUGAUUCUUCUUGUAUUCUCCGCCACAAGUUGUUAUGACGAUACCAAGGUCUUGAAGUGAUGCCUAUGGUAGCUUCUUCACCAAGAUACAAACAAAGUUCGGCAACCUCGGACCCUUGUUUGCUCUUCACCACAAAGAUAAGCUCUCUUAUUAAAUCAUAACAUGCUUUAAUGACUUUCAAACUGCACAUAUGUGUCACGGUAGAAUUAUUGUUGUGGUUUAAAUUACUAAACAACUCUAAAGACGUGUUCACUCAUCUCAUGUUAUUGCUUUGCUGAUUGGUAGCCUUAUGAUAUUAAUAAGUUUGACAAUUAUUAUAUCAUCAUGUGCAACUCACUACCGUUAAGUGAAAACAAGUUCAACCUAGCUUGCUUAUUAAUUAUGCAACAAUUGGUUAUUUCUUUUGGUUUACAUUGAUUAGUAUCUAAUCAUGAUCAUACUUUUUGUGAACCAGAGCCAAAGAGAAAAGUAGAGCCAACAAGCGCUCACCACCGUUAUAUCAUCAUGCUUAGAAAGACGGUUCUCAGCUUCGAGAUUGUUGAAAGCAGUACAAGCAGCAUAAGCCGGCACAUUUCUUAGCAUCAUCAUACCCUGACGAGCAUACACACCAACUACUUGUUCGGCACACACAAUCUCAACACGAGACUUCGGACCGGCAAAGGCGAUGAGUCUGUGAGAAAUUGUAAAAAAGAAGAAGAAUUAUACAUGUUUUUAUCAAGAUUGAGAAUUGACAAGUCGUUGCGACUUUUAUUUUUCUGGUAGACCAUUCUUUGCUUUUUCUUAAAUACAAAUAUUUGACCAUUCUGUGUACAUACAUGAUACAGCCAAGGAGCAACAGCUAUGAAGUUGAUCCAUUUCGAGUACUUUUAAUUAAUUUAAAAGUGAUCAAAAUCUCGUCAAAAUCUAACUGAUCUAUAUGCAUAUAUAUAAUUGUUAUAAAAAAUAUUAAUGUUAUAUCGUUAAAUAUGGGUCACUUGUGAUCUGUUUGGUCAUAAAUGCAAUAACCAAGCUAGAGAGUAAAAAAAGUAGAAAGGAGCUUCGCGUUGGCUACAUGCACUAUACACACGUCUUUUCAACGUUUUCAUUAAUGUUCAGAGUGUGAUUGUAAUAUCAACGCAACUUGGAGGAGUAAAAAAAGAAGAAAAUUAGUGAAACAUGAAAUAAGAAGAAAAUGUAAACUUCAGAGUAAACUUUUACUCUAGGAGAAAGAGAAAAAAAAAACUUAACUACAAAAAACAUAAAAAGA